GACGAACGCUGGCGGCGUGCCUAAUACAUGCAAGUAGAACGCACAGUUUAUACCGUAGCUUGCUACACCAUAAACUGUGAGUUGCGAACGGGUGAGUAACGCGUAGGUAACCUGCCUGGUAGCGGGGGAUAACUAUUGGAAACGAUAGCUAAUACCGCAUAAUAUUAAUUAUUGCAUGAUAAUUGAUUGAAAGAUGCAAUUGCAUCACUACCAGAUGGACCUGCGUUGUAUUAGCUAGUAGGUGAGGUAACGGCUCACCUAGGCGACGAUACAUAGCCGACCUGAGAGGGUGAUCGGCCACACUGGGACUGAGACACGGCCCAGACUCCUACGGGAGGCAGCAGUAGGGAAGCUUCGGCAAUGGACGAAAGUCUGACCGAGCAACGCCGCGUGAGUGAAGAAGGUUUUCGGAUCGUAAAGCUCUGUUGUAAGAGAAGAACGGGUGUGAGAGUGGAAAGUUCACACUGUGACGGUAUCUGACCAGAAAGGGACGGCUAACUACGUG
rnacentral:rRNA from 1 species